rnacentral:rRNA from 1 species
GAGUUUGAUCCUGGCUCAGAAUCAACGCUGGCGGCGUGCCUAACACAUGCAAGUCGAACGAGAAAGUGGAGCAAUCCAUGAGUAAAGUGGCGACCGGUGAGUAACACGUGACUAACCUACCUUCGAGUGGGGGAUAACCUCGGGAAACCGGGGCUAAUACCGCAUAACAUCCUUGGAGUGGAAACUCUGGGGAUCAAAGGAGCAAUUCGCUGGAAGAGGGGGUCGCGGCUGAUUAGCUAGUUGGCGGGUAACGGCCCACCAAGGCUUUGAUCGGUAGCCGGCCUGAGAGGGCGCACGGCCACACUGGAACUGAAACACGGUCCAGACUCCUACGGGAGGCAGCAGUGGGGAAUUUUGCGCAAUGGGGGAAACCCUGACGCAGCAACGCCGCGUGGAGGAUGAAGUCCCUUGGGACGUAAACUCCUUUCGACCGGGACGAUAAUGACGGUACCGGUGGAAGAAGCCCCGGCUAACUUCGUGCCAGCAGCCGCGGUAAUACGAGGGGGGCAAGCGUUGUUCGGAAUUAUUGGGCGUAAAGGGCGCGUAGGCGGUGCGGUAAGUCACCUGUGAAAUCUUCGGGCUUAACUCGGAGCCUGCAGGCGAAACUGCCGUGCUCGAGGGUGGGAGAGGUGCGUGGAAUUCCCGGGUACGGGAAAUGCGUAAAUAUCGG